rnacentral:SRP_RNA from 1 species
GCCGGGGACCUCAUGGAAUAGGACACUCCGAACCAGGUCAGAACAGGAAUGUAGCAGCCUUAAGGGGCUCGUCUUAUGCCUUGAGAUAAUCUCCGGCUCU